GACGAACGCUGGCGGCGUGCUUAACACAUGCAAGUCGAGCGGUAAGGCUCCUUCGGGAGUACACGAGCGGCGAACGGGUGAGUAACACGUGAGCAACCUGCCCUUCUCAUCGGAAUAAGCGUCGGAAACGACGUCUAAUGCCGAAUAUGACCUCCUUUCGCAUGAUCGGAGGUGGAAAGCUCCGGCGGAGAAGGAUGGGCUCGCGGCCUAUCAGCUUGUUGGUGGGGUAACGGCCCACCAAGGCGACGACGGGUAGCCGGCCUGGGAGGGUGACCGGCCACACUGGGACUGAGACACGGCCCAGACUCCUACGGGAGGCAGCAGUGGGGAAUAUUGGACAAUGGGCGAAAGCCUGAUCCAGCAACGCCGCGUGAGGGAUGACGGCCUUCGGGUUGUAAACCUCUUUCAGCAGGGACGAAGCGAAAGUGACGGUACCUGCAGAAGAAGGACCGGCCAACUACGUGCCAGCCGCCGCCGUAA
rnacentral:rRNA from 1 species